GAUGAACGCUGGCGGCGUGCCUAAUACAUGCAAGUCGAGCGAACAGAUAAGGAGCUUGCUCCUUUGACGUUAGCGGCGGACGGGUGAGUAACACGUGGGUAACCUACCUAUAAGACUGGAAUAACUCCGGGAAACCGGGGCUAAUGCCGGAUAACAUUUAGAACCGCAUGGUUCUAAAGUGAAAGAUGGUUUUGCUAUCACUUAUAGAUGGACCCGCGCCGUAUUAGCUAGUUGGUAAGGUAACGGCUUACCAAGGCAACGAUACGUAGCCGACCUGAUAGGGUGAUCGGCCACACUGGAACUGAGACACGGUCCAGACUCCUACGGGAGGCAGCAGUAGGGAAUCUUCCGCAAUGGGCGAAAGCCUGACGGAGCAACGCCGCGUGAGUGAUGAAGGUCUUCGGAUCGUAAAACUCUGUUAUUAGGGAAGAACAAAUGUGUAAGUAACUGUGCACGUCUUGACGGUACCUAAUCAGAAAGCCACGGCUAACUACGUG
rnacentral:rRNA from 1 species